UCAUAUUUCUCUUAACUGAACAAUAGGAUCACUUCUAUAACUAUAGUCUUUAGGACGAAAUUUAAAAUAAACAUUCUGGCUGAGAGAAAAUCCAUUGCAUCUAUUGUGUGAUCACCUUCAUGGUCUAGCAUCUUCAAGCUUUCACGAACCUCAAGGGAGAUACCCAUAACUCCUCCCUGAAACAGAUGAAACACAUAAGUUUUGCUAAACUGGGACAUGGUAUUAACCUUUUUUGCUUGAUAUUCUUCAAGAUACAGCAAAUCCAAAACACGUGAAUUGUAUGGUAUUAUUCCCUCUUAUAUAAAUAUGUCAUGAGUAAUGCACAUAGUUGGACAUCUACAAUACAAUAUAUUGCUGAUCAGAUUUUUUUGCAUUAAUCUACCGCGAAGCAACCCGACGAGGCCGCCACGAUCCAGCUAGCCGCGGCGCGGAAGGGCAGCAACGCGGAUGAUCCAGCAAGCCCUCGCCGCGAGCUGGAGCUUCUCCCAUGUCUUGCCCAGGUUAAUGAUGUAGAUGCCUAGGAACCACAAACAAGGGUACGAGAUGGGGGGAGGGAGGGGGCUCACGAUUAUGCGGUCGCGGUCGGCGUGGCUGGAGACGACCGCGGGCGCGGAGGGAGAGGAAGUGGCCGUGCGGUCCUUGGCGAGGAGGAUGCGGAGGCCGGAGUUGG
rnacentral:lncRNA from 1 species